CGUUUGGCAUCAACUCAGCAGGAAACACAAACAGUGGAGUCCUACAGGAAGCAGGCGGUCCUCUCUGGCAGUCUCUGGGUCUGUAGACACACCCUUCUCAUUCUCUGACACAGUUUCAGUAGAGGAACAACCACUACAGGUCUGAAGUCCACCCUGUGAAAAUAAUGGAUCAAGCCACAAGCUCCCAGAAAAACACCUCAAAAAUGGCUUUUCAGGUCGUCGUGGACAUACAUGGUGGACAGACGCUGUUGAUCGACCUGUGCGACACUGAGGAGCAGUUCAAGACCAUCACAGUGCUGCAGCUGAAGGAGAAGAUAUGUGAACAUACUGGCUGGCCAGUUGAGCGUGCGUGUGUGUACAGGCGCAAGUCAGAUGAUACAGAUGAUCCCCUAGCUUACUCCCUGGUUGAGUUCCUGGAUGACCGACGCCUGCUGUGUGAUUAUGGAAUCCAACACAUGACUAAGCUAGCUGCGAUGUAUAUGCCACUAGCGGGAGCAUCAGGACCAUCAUGGAAGGGAGAUGAAGGGAUAGGUGACAAGGACAAAAGCCAAAGUAUGGAAAGGCUUGCAGAUUUUAAACCAUAAAAAUAACACAACAGAACUGCACCUCAGUGACCCAAGCUCCCAAACAGUUCAAGUGUCACUCUUAGUGUAACAAAAACACAGGAUGUGGACAUUUUGAAGAACAAAGACUAAAAUAUAUCUACAAAAACAAACAUUUAAUGCCAUGAAUCCAACGCCAGUCAAUGAUCAAACUACUGGAAACUCAUCUCUGAGAAUCAAAAUUACACAAUAAGAUUUUUUAAUGAAAAUAAUCCCUUCUGAUCCUAUAAUGGCUUAGAUAUAACACUACACUGGUGCUUCCUUGUCACCUCUAUCUCCCCCUCCUCCUCUACCACUAACUGCAGCUUCAACACUGUAAAACUACUCUCUGCAACAACAAGACCAGCUGUCCUGAGAGUCAUACAUGACUGAAGCAGAAACCAGUUCUGCAGGAGGAGAAAGAUACAGAAAACGAAACCCUGCAAGCUGACAGGAUGACGGUCAUUGGGUCACAGCAGCUUGAAGACAGAAAUGCUGUUUAUUGAGCUCAUAAAAUGUCAUUAAAGAAAUGUUACAUUGUGUCAUGAUGUAUAUAGGUGAAGGGGUCCGUUAUUUUUAUUGGAUAUUAAACCACUUUUUCAGUC